AGUCUGGUGGUGUAGUUGGAAACACGUCCUCUUCGUAUUUAAGAUCUUCUCCAAAAAUAUGAGGGAAUCCCUUGUUCGAUUCAAGGCUAGACCC